GAUGAAGAACGCAGCAAAUCGCGAUAUGUAGUGUGAUCUGCCUAUAGUGAAUCAUCAAAUUUUUGAACGCAUCUUGCACCCCUGGGUAUUCCUGGGGGUACGCCUGUUUCAGUAUCAUUAUUACCUCUCUUCAACUAGAUUGUUGGUUGAUGGGAAACAUAACUACUGGCCCUGAGUCGCCUUUUAGGGGGGGACUUCACGGCUAAAAUACUCGGUUAUUCUUGGCUGAUGACAACCUUUUGGUAAGAUUUAUCCUACUAAAAAGACUCUAGUCGUCCAAGAAAUGGACCUCCCCGUAGACUACUACGGAGACCCCAACAACAACCUUGAUCUGAAAUCAGGCGGGAUUACCCGCUGAACUUAAGCAUAUCAAUAAGCGGAGGGA
rnacentral:misc_RNA from 1 species